rnacentral:rRNA from 1 species
AGCGAACGCUGGCGGCAGGCUUAACACAUGCAAGUCGAGCGGGCAUCCUUGUGGUGUCAGCGGCAGACGGGUGAGUAACGCGUGGGAACGUGCCCUUCGGUUCGGAAUAACUCAGGGAAACUUGAGCUAAUACCGGAUACGUGCGAGAGCAGAAAGGUUUAUCUGCCGAAGGAUCGGCCCGCGUCUGAUUAGCUAGUUGGUGAGGUUAUGGCUCACCAAGGCGACGAUCAGUAGCUGGUCUGAGAGGAUGAUCAGCCACACUGGGACUGUGACACGGCCCAGACUCCUACGGGAGGCAGCAGUGGGGAAUAUUGGACAAUGGGGGCAACCCUGAUCCAGCCAUGCCGCGUGAGUGAUGACGGCCUUAGGGUUGUAAAGCUCUUUUCUUCGGGACGAUAAUGACGGUACCGGAGGAAUAAGCCCCGGCUAACUUCGUG